AUUUGUAUAUUAUAAAUAUUAUAUUUGACUUCCAAUCAAACGAUCCUAAACUAGGUACAAAUA
rnacentral:tRNA from 1 species